rnacentral:rRNA from 1 species
GAUGAACGCUGGCGGCGUGCCUAAUACAUGCAAGUCGAGCGAACAGACGAGGAGCUUGCUCCUUUGACGUUAGCGGCGGACGGGUGAGUAACACGUGGGUAACCUACCUAUAAGACUGGGAUAACUUCGGGAAACCGGAGCUAAUACCGGAUAAUAUUUCGAACCGCAGGGUUCGAUAGUGAAAGAUGGCUUUGCUAUCACUUAUAGAUGGAUCUGCGCCGUAUUAGCUAGUUGGUAGGGUAACGGCUUACCAAGGCAACGAUACGUAGCCGACCUGAGAGGGUGAUCGGCCACACGGGAACUGAGACACGGUCCUGACUCCUACGGGAGGCAGCAGUCGGGAAUCUUCCGCAAUGGGCGAAAGCCUGACGGAGCAACGCCGCGUGAGUGAUGAAGAUCUUCGGAUCGUAAAACUCUGUUAUUAGUGAAGAACAAACGUGUAAGUAGCUGUGCACGUCUUGACGGUACCUAAUCAGAAAGCCACGGCUAACUACGUG